rnacentral:misc_RNA from 1 species
UUAGUGGGGUCCGCUUUGCUGGUCCUUGACGUGAUAAGAUGUUUCUACGUUUUGGAUUUAGCACUGUCCCUUGGAUGCCUGCUCCUAACUGUCUCACGGACAAUGAUGGUGCUCUGGUCACUGCCAUCUACAUUGGCGGGAGGCGUCGACCACAAAGAAACCUUGACCUCAAAUCGGGUGAGACUACCCGCUGAACUUAA